AGGGUCCCUCCCUCCUCUGCAGGGUCCCUCCCUCCUCUGCGGGGUCCUUCCAUCCUCUGUGGGGUCCCACCAUCCUCUGCGGGAUCCCUCCACCCUCUGCGGGGUCCCUCCAUCUUCUGUGGGGUCCCUCCACCCCCAUUCCAACCAGCCCCAGCCUGCGGGGUCCCUUACCCUCUGCGGGGUCCCUCCACCCUCUGCGGGGUCCCUCCAUCCUCUGUGGGGUCCCACCAUCCUCUGCAGGGUCCCUCCAUCCUCUGCGGGGUCCCUCCACCCCCAUCCCAACCAGCCCCAGCCUGCGGAGUCCCUUACCCUCUGCGGGGUCCCUCCACCCUCUGCAGGGUCCCUCCACCCUCUGCGGGGUCCCUCCACCCUCUGCAGGGUCCCUCCAUCCUCUGCGGGGUCCCUUCACCCCCAUCCCAACCAGCCCCAGCCUGCGGAGUCCCUUACCCUCUGCGGAGUCCCUCCACCCUCUGCGGGGUCCCUCCAUCCUCUGUGGGGUCCCACCAUCCUCUGCGGGGUCCCUCCACUCUCUGCGGGGUCCCUCCACCUACUGUGGGGUCCCUCCACCCUCUGCGGGGUCCUUCCAUCCUCUGUGGGGUCCCUCCACCCUCAUCCCUCAGGCCUGAGAAGCCCGAGAGGUCUGUCUUUAUAACCUGGAGAUUCCAGAUUCUUUUGCACAAUUAUUUAACAAACACUUACCAUCCUAGGCUGUGAUGUUACAAAAAGGAACGACCCAAUUCUAGCUCUUGUCCCCUAAUGAUCUGAAUUUAGGAGCUAGGACGUUUUGGUUGUUGGGAAGCACAAGGAAAAAUCCUAUAAAAGCAGCAUUGCACAUUCACUUCUCAAGGUGACUGCUUUGCUCUCUUUUUGUUGGUCAGUCUCUGUCGCUUCAUCGUUUUGUUGCGGCUUUCGCUUUCCUCACUUUAAUUUUGUUGCUCUUUUCAUAUCUUCUUGAGUUGAAUAUAUACGUGUUUUUAAUUAUUUUUAUGUCACUUUAAGGGAG
rnacentral:lncRNA from 12 species